rnacentral:lncRNA from 1 species
UUCCGGGCAAAGAGAAGAGCACUGCAGUAGCUCCAGAACAUGACAUAGAAUAGGAGGGGCUAUGCUUUGGGCCAGCUUGUCCUGUGGACCAAAUAAUGGAAAAACAAGGAAUCAGAGCAUGACAGCCAGGGACAAUGAGAACAGCCCCUUGGGAGGAACUGUCCUCCUUCCAUCACCAAGGGCCAUCCUGAACCUCCUGUCACCUACAUAUCAUUCAAAAUUUUAGAUUCUGGCUAUCAGAAUACAUGAAAAAUAUAUGACUGUGCCCUGGGCAAGGUAGCAGAAGGUGCUGGAACACAGAGCGGAGAAUUGCUAAUGUUUUCCUGCCAGCUCUGGUGAGAUGGUAGUUGCUGACAGCCAUGCUUUGUGAUCACAGAUUGUCUGCCCACUCAUAUUGCCAAGCCUAGCUUGUGAUUUAUAAAUUUAUUUUUUCUGAUCCUCUAA